ACAAGGAUCCCACAUCGCCUUUGCCUGGGUGAUAGAGUCCAGAGAGCGGAGGGGGAGCGGGGCGGGUAUCUGAGCGCUCCGAUUAAACGUGCAGAUGCACGAGACACAACUUCUGCUCGGUCCUGACAGAUGUCAGGUUGUUGCCAGUAAUUUGUAGACAGCAAUGAUAAGGUAGCUGUCACUGCUGGUCACUGGUACUUGCAGGCACCAUGAGAGGCACUUGGAUUAAGAACUCAUUUAAUCCUCACGCAAUAAGAGGGAUUUACCUACAGGAAUUAAAGCAUUAGCAGGGUCCUGAGUGCAAGGAAAUGAACGCAUUCCAAUGUAUGACGGCAAGCCCAGGAUUGCAAAGAGAGUGAUUCAGAUGCAAGCCCAGGAUCGCAAAGAGAGUGAUUCAGAUGCCAGUACUGAACUAGUAGAACCUGCUUUUAAUGGCCAGAAGAUGUUCAUUUCCUGAGGCUCGGAAUGAAGGGCAUCCACUUGAGUACCUGUUCUCUCAACUCUGUCACAGGGCAUGCACGAGCACAAACAGCCACUUGUCCAGGAUGGGCGGAUGGUCAGGGACACUGGAGGUCACCUGAACCACAUGGGACUCUGAGCCAGAUAAACCCCCAGGGCUGCUGCCAAUGCUAAGAUGCUACGCUUUCCACAGCAUCACCUGAAGUGGACCCGUGCUGUCCCAUGCUGCAGCCACGAGCCACCUGUGACCCCAGGAAUGCGGCUAGUCUGAAUCCCUGUGUCCUGGCUGAGAUACACUCCUGACCUCGAAGACUUAACACCAGAGAAAUCAGUUCCAUGUGGUGGCAAUCAUGCCCAUUUAACGAUGAAGAAGUCCAGGCUCAGAGUGAUAGAGGAACGUGCUCAGCACCCCGUGGGGGCAGGCUCUGAGCCAGAAAGUCGAUCUCUGAACUUCCGUGCUCUUUCGUGUUGGAAGAAGACCACAGAUGGAGCAAGGCUGUAAGCUCCUGGAGUAUGAGAGGUGUGCCCUGGACCAUUCUUGGCCUCCUGGCCCUAGUCUCCAGUGAGGGUCUUGAAGGUGCUGUGAUGAUGACAGCAAGACAGGGAGAUCCAGGGAAGAACAUUAGCAGCAACUCAUACAUCUUGAACACUCAGCCCAGAGACUGCUGUCAGUUCCUCACCUGCGGCACCUGGAUUCAUCCCCACCACCAGCCCAUGAGGGAAGAGCUCUAUUGUCCGCAUCUCACAGAGAAGGGAAGCGAGACCCAGCAAGGGGUGGACAACGGGGGACGGCACGAGAACAGCUGACAGCAGGACUCAGCCCCAAGCAGAAGGCCCAUCCUGCAGGAGGACGGCUCUG